CACGUAGGGCGCAAGCGUUGUCCGGAAUUAUUGGGCGUAAAGAGCUCGUAGGCGGUUUGUCGCGUCUGCUGUGAAAACUGGAGGCUCAACCUCCAGCCUGCAGUGGGUACGGGCAAACUAGAGUGCGGUAGGGGAGAUUGGAAUUCCUGGUGUAGCGGUGGAAUGCGCAGAUAUCAGGAGGAACACCGAUGGCGAAGGCAGAUCUCUGGGCCGUAACUGACGCUGAGGAGCGAAAGCAUGGGGAGCGAACAGG
rnacentral:rRNA from 1 species